AGCGAACGCUGGCGGCAGGCUUAAUACAUGCAAGUCGAACGGGCGUAGCAAUACGUCAGCGGCAGACGGGUGAGUAACGCGUGGGAACGUGCCCUUUGGUUACGGAACAACACAGGGAAACUUGUGCUAAUACCGGAUAAGCCCUUACGGGGAAAGAUUUAUCGCUUCAAGAUGGCCUCGCGUCUGAUUAGCUAGUUGGCGGGGUAACGGCCCACCAAGGCGACGAUCAGUAGCCGGACUGAGAGGUUGAACGGCCACAUUGGGACUGAGAUACGGCCCAGACUCCUACGGGAGGCAGCAGUGGGGAAUAUUGGGCAAUGGGCGCAAGCCUGACCCAGCAACGCCGCGUGAAGGAAGAAGGCUUUCGGGUUGUAAACUUCUUUUAAGAGGGAAGAGCAGAAGACGGUACCUCUAGAAUAAGCCACGGCUAACUACGUG
rnacentral:rRNA from 1 species